UCAAAGAUUAAGCCAUGCAUGUCUAAGUAUAAGCAAUUAUACCGCGAAACUGCGAAUGGCUCAUUAUAUAAGUUAUCGUUUAUUUGAUAAUACUUUACUACUGGGAUAACCGUGGUAAUUCUAGAGCUAAUACAUGCUGAAAAUCCCGACUUCGGAAGGGAUGUAUUUAUUAGAUUAAAAACCAAUGCCCCUCGGGGCUCUCUGGUGAAUCAUGAUAACUAGUCGAAUCGACAGGCCUUGUGCCGGCGAUGGCUCAUUCAAAUUUCUUCCCUAUCAACUUUCGAUGUUUGGGUAUUGGCCAAACAUGGUGGCAACGGGUAACGGAGGGUUAGGGCUCGACCCCGGAGAAGGAGCCUGAGAAACGGCUACUACAUCCAAGGAAGGCAGCAGGCGCGCAAAUUACCCAAUCCCGACACGGGGAGGUAGUGACAAUAAAUACUGAUACAGGGCUCUUUUGGGUCUUGUAAUCGGAAUGAGUACAAUUUAAAUCCCUUAACGAGGAACAAUUGGAGGGCAAGUCUGGUGCCAGCAGCCGCGGUAAUUCCAGCUCCAAUAGCGUAUAUUAAAGUUGUUGUGGUUAAAAAGCUCGUAGUUGAACCUUGGGCCUGGCUGGCCGGUCCGCCUCACCGCGUGCACUGGUCCGGCCGGGCCUUUCCCUCUGCGGAACCCCAUGCCCUUCACUGGGUGUGGCGGGGAAACAGGACUUUUACUUUGAAAAAAUUAGAGUGCUCAAGGCAGGCCUAUGCUCGAAUACAUUAGCAUGGAAUAAUAGAAUAGGACGUGUGGUUCUAUUUUGUUGGUUUCUAGGACCGCCGUAAUGAUUAAUAGGGACAGUCGGGGGCAUCAGUAUUCAAUUGUCAGAGGUGAAAUUCUUGGAUUUAUUGAAGACUAACUACUGCGAAAGCAUUUGCCAAGGAUGUUUUCAUUAAUCAGGAACGAAAGUUAGGGGAUCGAAGACGAUCAGAUACCGUCGUAGUCUUAACCAUAAACUAUGCCGACUAGGGAUCGGACGAUGUUACAUUUUUGACGCGUUCGGCACCUUACGAGAAAUCAAAGUGCUUGGGCUCCAGGGGGAGUAUGGCA
rnacentral:rRNA from 1 species